rnacentral:misc_RNA from 1 species
UGCCCCUCACUUGCCAAUACGUCUAGAUCAGCCCGGGCGUCGGCAUGUGUAGCGUAUUAUGUUGGGCUCUCUCGAGAUAAGGAUACGAUGUCCCUUUAUCGGUUGGUUUCCUGUGUGUGCGGCCCGUUCGUUUUUUUUGUUACUUUCGCAUCGUUCGGUGCAUUCUGGGGGCUGUGUUGGCUUUUGGUGGCUUGCUUGGCCUUUUGGCUUUGCUUGUUGCUACUUGUCGGGCUGCUUUCGGGAAUGUCGACCGUGGAGGUGCAUGAGUGGUGUUUGGUUUGUUACGUGUGGAUGGCUGUUUGCUUGUGCAACAACGUUCACGCUGCAUACCUCUUCAGUUUUGCGGCAAGGCUUGGUUUGGCUUGUGCAUAUUGUGGGUUUCCUGUGUUGCAUACCUAGUUGAUGGAAAAGUGUGGGUUUUACGAUUUUCAUUUUCGUCUUGCGUCGUUCUUUUGGCGUGGGAUGAACAAUGAAGCGAUCUUUAUGAUCCAUCGUGCUGUUGCGUUUGCAACAAUGAUGUGGCCUAUGAAGCAUCGUUUGGUCUCUUGUAUACGGAAGCUCAUUUGGGCUUGGGUCUUUAUAAGAUCUUCGUUACGCCCUUGUUAAGCGUUCUCGCUUCUCCUAAACGAUUG